rnacentral:sRNA from 1 species
GCAGUACGUCGCUACGUCCCGUCUCUAGCCCUGACGCUCCGCCGGUCCCGUUCUGCAGCUGUCAUUCUUCUCUACAGAAGAGCUUCUCCUCAUCAACUGGGGAUGAUUACAGUUCUUCCUUAAAAAGGAUGGCUGCUCUUUUUCUAAAGAGGUUAACACUACAAACUGUAAAGUCUGAAAAUAGUUGCAUUAGAUGUUUUGGUAAACACAUCCUGCAAAAGACAGCACCAGCACAGUUGUCCCCUAUUGCUUCUGCCCCAAGACUCUCCUUCCUAAUUCAUGCAAAAGCCUUUAGU